rnacentral:rRNA from 1 species
GAUGAACGCUGGCGGCGUGCUUAACACAUGCAAGUCGAACGGUGAAGGCGGAGCUUGCUCUGCUGGAUCAGUGGCGAACGGGUGAGUAACACGUGAGCAAUCUGCCCCUGACUCUGGGAUAAGCGCUGGAAACGGCGUCUAAUACUGGAUACGAGCUGCGGAGGCAUCUUCAGCAGCUGGAAAGAAUUUCGGUCAGGGAUGAGCUCGCGGCCUAUCAGCUUGUUGGUGGGGUAAUGGCUCACCAAGGCGUCGACGGGUAGCCGGCCUGAGAGGGUGACCGGCCACACUGGGACUGAGACACGGCCCAGACUCCUACGGGAGGCAGCAGUGGGGAAUAUUGCACAAUGGGCGAAAGCCUGAUGCAGCAACGCCGCGUGAGGGACGACGGCCCUCGGGUUGUAAACCUCUUUUAGCAGGGAAGAAGCGAAAGUGACGGUACCUGCAGAAAAAGCGCCGGCUAACUACGUG